GUUGGAUCUAUGGCUGUUUUCGAAACCGCCUACUAUAAACGCUAUUUGCUCCUUCGUGCUAUGUCAGAAUAACUACAGUGUUUCAUUCAUCGCAGACGAACAACUACCUGUUCCACUAAAAGUUUGAUGAUCCUCUUGUGAUUCUAAAUGAAAUGGAUCUUCGAGUAGCCUAUUCAUCUCACAGACAGCCCUGUAGUGUGAGUAAUAUUUUCAUUCUGAAAAUUGGACCAGAAGGACUCCAUGAUGCGAGCAUGGAAGCAACAGUUGGUAUCAUGAAUCAGAGUGGCGCGUUGCAGGAGAAAAUAGUCAUUAUAAACAUAGUUUUUUUAAGCUUCCCCUCUUUUUCAACACUCAUCUUACCUUCUGCUGCCUCCUGGCCAUGUCAGUAGGUUGCUUUGCGUUAAAUGGAUAUGCGAUGCAGCGCAUCACAAACACAUACAGCUGGAGUCUCUUUUUCUUCUCCUCCUCCUCCCUCUGCAUCUUCUCCAGGUCUUCCUUCUCUUUGUCACUGCCAACCGAGGGGCUGGGGCUGGAGGGUCGCCCAGCGCCACUCCCGCGGCCCCGGGGCUGGAGCCCUGCGCCGCUGCCGUGGCCGUCGGCGGCGGCACGGCCCGGUGACGGCCGGGCUCCAGCGACGCUCUUCGGGGCCGCCACCUCUUUGCGCUCCACCUCCAGUAUCUCAUCCCCUUCCUCCUCGCUGGAAGACGGGUCCAACAUGCUGCCGAGGCUUGGAUGGAGGCUGCACCUGCUGUCAAUGUACAACUGGAAAAGUAGGAGAAGAUGCCGGUAAGCCUCAGAGGAAGAGAUCCGGGGGGUAGUCGCUGUGGGAGACGCAAAAACCUGACUGAUGAGGAGUGGAUCAGACUGUUGUUUUCCAGGAAAAAAAAAACUGCCGUCAGACGAGUCAAUCCCAGGAUGGAAUAAAAAAAAGUGUUGGAA